rnacentral:rRNA from 1 species
UACGGAAGGCAGCAGUGGGGAAUAUUGGACAAUGGGCGGAAGCCUGAUCCAGCCAUGCCGCGUGUGUGAAGAAGGCCUUUUGGUUGUAAAGCACUUUAAGCGAGGAGGAGGCUCUCCUAGUUAAUACCUAGGAAGAGUGGACGUUAUUCGCAGAAUAAGCACCGGCUAACUCUGUGCCAGCAGCCGCGGUAAUACAGAGGGUGCGAGCGUUAAUCGGAUUUACUGGGCGUAAAGCGUGCGUAGGCGGCUGAUUAAGUCGGAUGUGAAAUCCCUGAGCUUAACUUAGGAAUUGCAUUCGAUACUGGUCAGCUAGAGUAUGGGAGAGGAUGGUAGAAUUCCAGGUGUAGCGGUGAAAUGCGUAGAGAUCUGGAGGAAUACCGAUGGCGAAGGCAGCCAUCUGGCCUAAUACUGACGCUGAGGUACGAAAGCAUGGGGAAGCAAACAAGGAAUUAAGAAUAACC